UACGUAGGGGGCUAGCGUUGUCCGGAAUCAUUGGGCGUAAAGAGCGCGUAGGCGGCUGGAAUAGUCCGGUGUGAAAUCCACAGGCUUAACCUGUGAAUGCCGCUGGAAACUGUCUGGCUAGAGUCCGGAAGGGGCGAGUGGAAUUCCUGGUGUAGCGGUGAAAUGUGCAGAUAUCAGGAGGAACACCAAUGGCGAAGGCAGCUCGCUGGGACGGUACUGACGCUGAGGCGCGAAAGCGUGGGGAGCGAACAGG
rnacentral:rRNA from 1 species